UUUGUAGCUCAGUUGGUAGAGCAGAGGACUGAAAAUCCUCGUGUCGAUGGUUCGAUUCCGUCCGA
rnacentral:tRNA from 1 species